UACGAAGGGGGCUAGCGUUGUUCGGAAUUACUGGGCGUAAAGCGAACGUAGGCGGUGUUCCAUGUCAGAGGUGAAAGCCUGGGGCUCAACUCCAGAACUGCCUUCGAUACUGGGAGUCUCGAGUCCGGGAGAGGUGAGUGGAACUGCGAGUGUAGAGGUGAAAUUCGUAGAUAUUCGCAAGAACACCAGUGGCGAAGGCGGCUCACUGGCCCGGUACUGACGCUGAGGUGCGAAAGCGUGGGGAGCAAACAGG
rnacentral:rRNA from 1 species